rnacentral:tRNA from 1 species
GCCGGGGUGGCGGAACUGGAAGACGCACAGGACUUAAAAUCCUGCGGUGAGUGAUCACCGUACCGGUUCGAUUCCGGUCCUCGGCACCA